rnacentral:rRNA from 1 species
UACGAAGGGGGCUAGCGUUGCUCGGAAUUACUGGGCGUAAAGGGCGCGUAGGCGGAUAGUUUAGUCAGAGGUGAAAGCCCAGGGCUCAACCUUGGAACUGCCUUUGAUACUGGCUAUCUUGAGUUCGGGAGAGGUGAGCGGAAUGCCGAGUGUAGAGGUGAAAUUCGUAGAUAUUCGGCGGAACACCGGUGGCGAAGGCGGCUCACUGGCCCGAUACUGACGCUGAGGCGCGAAAGCGUGGGGAGCAAACAGG